UGGCGCUUGGCCUGGCGCUCGGUUAUAUGGCCUUCAAUGCCUUCGAUUAUAGCAGCACCCUGAUCCUGCUGGUUCCAGCCCUGCUGUGCUUU
rnacentral:tRNA from 1 species